AAGGCGGAUUCAAUGAUGUUGCCA
rnacentral:siRNA from 1 species